GCAAUGAUCAAUGAUUCUCCAUCAUUGAUGUUCCUGUCUCUCUCCCCUUUUCCCUUCCUUUCUCUGAAAUCAGUAAACACUUUUUUUUAAAAGAAAGUACAAGAAUAGAGAAUGAAGGGUGGAGGAGGCACAACUCUUACCUGUUGAUAAAGGAAUUUUUAGUAUUUGGUUAGCUUUAUGUUUUAAAAAUGAUAAGUAUGAUAUUUAUCAUGUAUGAUAAAAUUCAGGUAACUUUUUCCUGGUGAACUUGAUAGUUCCCACUUGCCUUUAAUUGUAGCCACGUCUUUAUGGUACAGUUGCAUUUGUAAAUAGCUUUUUUAUGUUAAUGUAAUGUCUGUUGUUUCAGUCCUACUUAUUUAUCAUAACUUAAUCAAAAAUAUUCUCAUAAUGCUGUGAUAUCAUUUUGUAAUAAUUUUAUUCCACAUAAAAGAAUUACUAUGAGUAGCUAAAUUUAUUGGGAUUUACAUGUUAUGACUUACACAAUUGUAUUGUAAAAUGCAUUAUAAGAUAGCAGCUUUGUCAUGUGCCAGGCCAAAAAGUUCCCCAAAGGAAGUUCCAAAAGGACUGAAUGUAUAUUAUUUAACUUACUAAGACAGCUUUAUUGCAUAGAAUGAAGGUGGGAGUUAGAAUAAAAGAAUACUAUAUAUAUCUCUAAUGUCACAGAAUUUUUAAAUUUUCUACUUCAACAGGAAGUUCUCAUUAAUGACAGGAUACAUCUUCACUAUUACAAAGAAACUAGAAUUAAUUUUAAGUGAGCCAAUAAUAUUUUUCUGUGUUAUAUAUGCUCCCACUUUCUUGAUAUUGUUUAGGUAAUAUGCCUCCAUUAUUUUUACAUAGUCAUUUUUUACUGCAUUAUUUCUCUUGAGCCUGCCCCAGGCAUUAUGAGAUUUAUUUCAGCCUGUUCUCUUAAAGCUGGCUGGUAACAUCCAUACUUCUUUUUCACUUAGAAUUAUAUCAUAUUCUUUUUUUUUGUAGGACUUUAUUUUUUUAUUUUCUUAAAAUCUUUAACAGCAAUCAAUAUCUUAUUUCACAGACUGUAAAUAUCUUUCUAAUUUUGUCCAACAUCUAAGGUUAUAAUUAUCAGAUGCUACUUUAAUUAUCUCCUUUUUGUUGUUUAAAUUAAUAAUCUAAAAAGUGUUUUUGAGAUCUGUUCUUUUAUUUUUUCUAGUGGUAAAAAUCAUAUAAUAUGUAAAACUAAUUGGUGUUAUCAAAGGGCUAUAGAAAAUUGUCAUAAUUCUAUUAAGGUUAUUUUUGAACUUUGAAAGUUAUUUUGAUACAUAGAGUUUUAUUCCUGUUUUUUACAUGUAAUUGUAUUAGUGAAAUAUUUUUGGCAUUUCUAUUUUGAUUUUGAAGCAGCCUUUAUUCUACAUUUCUAUUUUAUGUCUAAUUUAAGUGGUAGGGCAAGGCUGAUACUUGUUACCAGAUGUAGAAGCCCUUGGCCUAUUCCAUUAACAUAUUAAACAUAAAAGGGCAUCACUUCAGAAAUAUAACUAGUGCUUUUAUAGGACAGAUUUCUCUGCUGAUUGAUCUUUUACUAUCCAGACAUAUAAGUUCUACUUAUAUUUGAUUAUCAAAGGAAUUUGCCAUUUUGCAAGCUUGUUUUCAAAGGUAGCAUCAAGGUGCUAUAUGAAAGGCUAUGUCAUGUUAUACCCUAAAGAGCUGGGGUUUUUUAGCAAUAAAUUAUUUUCUGUUUGUGUUUUAUCAACAGUUAAUUCAUCCUAAUCAAAACUGUUUUCUAAUUAGAAAGGAGUUAAUAAUUGAUAUAUGAUUGAGGUGUUGAUACUUAUGUUUUAUCAUAUAUGUCUGAGCACACUUUUUCCUGCACGAAUACUUAUUCUAAGAAAUAUUCAUAGUUCGUUUCAUUCAUGUAUUUUACAAAUACUGAGUGCCUACUACGUACUAGGUGCAGUUCUGGGUGCUAGAAAUAGAGUAGUUAACAAGCCUUUCCUUAAAUUAAGGUAGAUACUGUUUAAGGUUUUCUGGAAACUAGUAAGUUCUGUAAACCAUUGGUAUGCUUGUUGUUUGUUUUCCUCUAUGCCAACUUCGUAAAAUUUCCAGGUUCCAAACGUCAUUAUGACUGCUCACUUAAUUGAUUUAAAUUUGAACAUACAGAGUCUCUUAGAAUAGUGGUCAGCAAUCUUUCGGGGCCACUGAUUGGAGACCGCUGUCUUCAAACAGCAGAAAGUGAAUAUGAGCCAUUUUAAAUGUUAAUCUCUUCUCUCGCAUCUUUGUUUAAGGAAAGUACAUAAAAUGUACUUAUUUUAAGUUCUUUUAGUCUUUAAGAAAAGUUGCUUUGACUUGGUAAUCUUUAAAGUAGGUUAGGCUUUUUUAAGUAUGACAGGCUAUUUUUGAUCUUAAGUUACUUAAGCUUAAAUUAAUACAGCUGCACAUAAGUAUUAUGUAAUGAACUAAAGGCCCAGUGCACAAAAUUCAUGCAGAGGUAGGGUCCCUCCUGGCUGCCAGCUGCUGGCAGGGCCCUCCCUUCCUUGACUGCCAGCCAGGGCUUUCCUUUGUUUUGCGCCGCCCCCUGGUGGUCAGCAUAUGUCAUAGCGACACAUUGACUUUGGUCUGUCGACAACUGAGAGGACAUUUUGCAUAUUAGGUUUUUAUAUAUAUAUAGAAGAUGCUUUAUGGGCCUUAUCAUUCAGACAGUAGUUGACUUUUCCAGACCGGUAAAAGAUCAUUUGUUCUUAAUUAAAUGAAAACCCUAAUUUCAUUAGACUUAGAGGUGUCUUUGAUGCCUAUUGAAUAAAUCAUUCACUACAUUCAAACUAAUUAUGCUAAAAUCUUUAGAAUAGAAUUUAUAGCU